AGAUUUAUAGAGAAAACAUAAUUUCUGUUUCAUAAUUAGGGCUUUUUGUUUGAUCUAAUCGGUUACUGAAUUAUGGUUUUGUUUGUAAGGAGAAUCCGAUUGCAAGCUCACCGGCGAAGGAAGCAUACAGGAAUCGGCUGGCGGACAGCCUCAACAUGGGAGUUAUGGAUUGGUUUGAUCCAAUUGCUGAUUCGACUACUAGCCAUCUCGAUCUGAUUCCCCACAUGGUUUAGGGGAGAAGUUUAAAACAACAGGACUAUGGAAGGAUAUACGGUGCUACAUUGACAGUCAACUCUACGGUUUGUAGGUUGAAGUUUGCUUAACACGCUUCAACCGUCGAACUUGGUGCGGCUCAAUUGAAUAAGGAAUGAAGUAGGUAAUGUACCUAGAAUCUUGGCAGAAGGAAGCGACUGGAGUUUGUUUUUUAAGGUAGUAAUUUCAAUCUAUCUUUUCAAGUUGCUUGUGGUGAACAACUUUCCCACAUCAAUGGGAGUAGCUGUAAAGCAACAUUUUACAGUUUUGUGAAAGAGAGCAUGCUUGCUUCAGUCUCUAUAAAUACUUCAUCAAGCUCAACACUAUACAAUCACUCAACUCAGACGAAUUAAACUUUCACAUUAAUAUAUUGACUCUUUGCAUCUGGAUCUUGCGUUGUUCCUCGGCUCUCACAUCAAGGUUUCACAUUUUUUGUUGGCUUUUUACAUCUGCCUCUUGCAUUAUUGUAAGUUCUUCCAAAUUUCUUGGUUUUUUGAUCUGUAUUGUUUAACUGCCUCUUUGUU